rnacentral:rRNA from 1 species
UGCGCAGGCGGUUAUAUAAGACAGAUGUGAAAUCCCCGGGCUCAACCUGGGAACUGCAUUUGUGACUGUAUAGCUAGAGUACGGUAGAGGGGGAUGGAAUUCCGCGUGUAGCAGUGAAAUGCGUAGAUAUGCGGAGGAACACCGAUGGCGAAGGCAAUCCCCUGGACCUGUACUGACGCUCAUGCACGAAAGCGUGGGGAGCAAACA